CCUACGGGAGGCAGCAGUGGGGAAUAUUGCGCAAUGGGCGAAAGCCUGACGCAGCAACGCCGUGUGAGGGAUGAAGGCUUUCGGGUCGUAAACCUCUGUCGGAAGGGAAGAACGGGCAUUGGUCUAAUAGGCCUUUGUUUUGACGGUACCUUUAGAGGAAGCACCGGCUAACUCCGUGCCAGCAGCCGCGGUAAUACGGAGGGUGCAAGCGUUAUUCGGAAUUACUGGGCGUAAAGCGCACGUAGGCCGCUUUGUAAGUCAGGGGUGAAAUCCCACGGCUCAACCGUGGAACUGCCCUUGAAACUGCAGAGCUUGAAUCCUGGAGAGGGUGGCGGAAUUCCUGGUGUAGGAGUGAAAUCCGUAGAUAUCAGGAGGAACACCGGUGGCGAAGGCGGCCACCUGGACAGGCAUUGACGCUGAGGUGCGAAAGUGUGGGGAGCAAACAGGAUUAGAUACCCUGGUAGUCCACACCGUAAAGCGAUGGAUGCUAGAUGCCGGAC
rnacentral:rRNA from 1 species